UUCCACAUAUCACUGUACUUAGUAAGUGGAAGAGACUAAGUUUUAAGAGUAAAAGAGAAGGGAGUGGCAGCACAGGCAUUGGUCUGUUUUUGGUGUACAUAUUUCUUCUUGUUGGUUUUGGUUCUUUGAUUCUUU
rnacentral:ribozyme from 1 species